rnacentral:rRNA from 1 species
GGGAGGCAGCAGUAGGGAAUAUUGGGCAAUGGACGCAAGUCUGACCCAGCCAUGCCGCGUGCAGGAUGAAGGCGUUAUGCGUUGUAAACUGCUUUUAUACAGGAAGAAACGACCCUUGCGAGAGGCAUUGACGGUACUGUAUGAAUAAGCACCGGCUAACUCCGUGCCAGCAGCCGCGGUAAUACGGAGGGUGCAAGCGUUGUCCGGAUUUAUUGGGUUUAAAGGGUGCGCAGGUGGUUUAUUAAGUCAGUGGUGAAAGACGGUCGCUCAACGAUUGCAGUGCCAUUGAAACUGGUAGACUUGAGUAAAGUAGAGGUGGGCGGAAUUGAUAGUGUAGCGGUGAAAUGCAUAGAUAUUAUCAAGAACUCCAAUUGCGUAGGCAGCUCACUUGGCUUUUACUGACACUCAUGCACGAAAGUGUGGGUAUCAAACAGGAUUAGAUACCCUGGUAGUCCACACUGUAAACGAUGAUAACUAGGUGUCGGCCGAAUCUGGUCGGUGCCACAGCGAAAGCGUUAAGUUAUCCACCUGGGGAGUACGCCGGCAACGGUGAAACUCAAAGGAAUUGACGG